CAUGCAAGUCGAACGAUGAAGCCCAGCUUGCUGGGUGGAAGAGUGGCGAACGGGUGAGUAACACGUGAGUAACCUGCCCUGAACUCUGGGAUAAGCACUGGAAACGGUGUCUAAUACUGGAUACGACCUAUCACCGCAUGGUGUGUGGGUGGAAAGAUUUAUCGGUUUUGGAUGGACUCGCGGCCUAUCAGCUAGAUGGUGAGGUAAUGGCUCACCAUGGCGACGACGGGUAGCCGGCCUGAGAGGGUGACCGGCCACACUGGGACUGAGACACGGCCCAGACUCCUACGGGAGGCAGCAGUGGGGAAUAUUGCACAAUGGGCGCAAGCCUGAUGCAGCAACGCCGCGUGAGGGAUGACGGCCUUCGGGUUGUAAACCUCUUUUAGUAGGGAAGAAGCGAAAGUGACGGUACCUGCAGAAAAAGCACCGGCUAACUACGUGCCAGCAGCCGCGGUAAUACGUAGGGUGCAAGCGUUGUCCGGAAUUAUUGGGCGUAAAGAGCUCGUAGGCGGCUUGUCGCGUCUGCUGUGAAAUCCCGGGGCUCAACCCCGGGCCUGCAGUGGGUACGGGCAAGCUAGAGUGCGGUAGGGGAGAUUGGAAUUCCUGGUGUAGCGGUGGAAUGCGCAGAUAUCAGGAGGAACACCGAUGGCGAAGGCAGAUCUCUGGGCCGCUACUGACGCUGAGGAGCGAAAGCAUGGGGAGCGAACAGGAUUAGAUACCCUGGUAGUCCAUGCCGUAAACGUUGGGAACUAGAUGUAGGGCCUGUUCCACGGGUUCUGUGUCGUAGCUAACGCAUUAAGUUCCCCGCCUGGAGAGUACGGCCGCAAGGCUAAAACUCAAAGGAAUUGACGGGGGCCCGCACAAGCGGCGGAGCAUGCGGAUUAAUUCGAUGCAACGCGAAGAACCUUACCAAGGCUUGACAUAGCCGAGAACGCUGUAGAGAUACAGAACUCUUUGGACACUCGGUUACAGUGGUGCAUGGUUGUCGUCAGCUCGUGUCGUGAGAUGUUC
rnacentral:rRNA from 1 species